UUUUUAAGGGUAAGAUUAGGUGGUGUUAGGUAUGUUCACUUGUCGUGCAACCAGAUUGCUGUUUUAAAUAACAGCACUUAGAGAUGCCGACUUCGUGCCAGGCCCAGUUUGGGACAUUAGAGACUCCCAGAUGAAUCAGCCGCUCCAGUGGAACUCCCUGCUGGUGGGGGAGGCACUGGCGAAGCGGUGCUGAGCGAGCGGAGUCCUGACGGCGCUGGAGCUGAGGGGCAGUGCGGGAUGCCCCAGGAAGGCUCCUAGGAAGAGGGGACCCAGGGUGACUCGCUAAGGAAGCGCGGUUCCCAGGUAGAGGAGCGCAUGUGAGCCAAGAUCCCUAGGCCUGAGCCGUCUAGGUGUGUCCCAGGAACUGCAGGAAACGGUUGGGUGAGUCAGUGGUGGGCAGCGGGGGUGAUAAGCCCCUUCGUGUCUUCGGGAUGGUAAGUUUGGGGCACAGGUGAGUGAAGACCGAAGGCCAGGGGUGGACUGACACUCCGUGGCAGGCGCAGGGCCGGGCAGGGGGGCGGCUUGGGGGUGGCAAGGUUUGGGUGAGAAAUGGCAGCCCAUGGGGAACUACCGCAGGGCUCUGGGGCCUUCAGAGCCAAGCCCCGACGUCCCUUCCCACCUGCGGGGCAGAACUGGGGAUGGCAGGGGGGAGGGUGGUUCCCAAAGGAGAUGCCAUCCCUGGUAAGGGGACAUAGGCCCCUGGGAGUUGGGUUGGGCCACAAGGAGAGAGGCCUGAACGGCCAAAGGGAGGGGGCGUGGGGGAAGCCGCAGCAUCAGACCUCUGCCUCCUCCCUCAGAUCGUGAGGCUCCCCAGCCUGGCUCGGGAGACCCCGAGAUCCCCGGCCGGUGACAGCAGGCGACCCCCUGCUCCUGUCAACCUGUGGGUCCCUACGGACAUGGGGAAGGGAGGAGGGAGGCCCCAGCUCCCUGCGGGGGAGGGGCGUGAAGACGCGCGGGGGUGGGGGGAGAUGAGCCGGCGUCGCCAUGACAACGAGGCCGGUGGUCCAGCCUUGGGGACCCGGGAGGGAGGGAGGCGCCGUGGCCGCGCGCGCGGGCGGGGGCGGGGGGCCAGGUCUCCCAGGAGUAGUUGGGGAACACCCGGCGAUUCUGGCGGCUGCUUCCUGGUGGCGCAGGGAGCCCGCGUGUUUGCGAGUGCGUGUGUGUGCGAAGUUCUCCGGCUCGACUCCGCGCUCUCCUCGCCGGCCGCCGCCGC
rnacentral:lncRNA from 1 species